rnacentral:rRNA from 1 species
AUACGGAGGAUCCGAGCGUUAUCCGGAUUUAUUGGGUUUAAAGGGUGCGCAGGCGGCCAUUUAAGUCAGCGGUUAAAUCGUGGGGCUCCACCCCAUUCUGCCGUUGAUACUGGGUGGCUUGAUUGCGGUCGAGGUUGGCGGAAUUCGUUGUGUAGCGGUGAAAUGCAUAGAUAUGACGAAGAACACCGAUUGCGUAGGCAGCUGACCAGACCGCAAAUGACGCUCAUGCACGAAAGUGCGGGGAUCGAACAGGAUUAGAUACCCUGGUAGUCCACACAGUAAACGAUGAAUACUUGUUUUCGGCGAUAUAAUGUCGGAGGCAAAGCGAAAGCGAUAAGUAUUCCACCUGGGGAGUACGCCGGCAACGGUGAAACUCAAAUGAAUUGACGGGG